rnacentral:rRNA from 1 species
UACGUAGGGUGCGAGCGUUAAUCGGAAUUACUGGGCGUAAAGGGUGCGCAGGCGGCUUCGCAAGUCAGACGUGAAAUCCCCGAGCUUAACUUGGGAAUUGCGUUUGAAACUACGAGGCUAGAGUGUGGCAGAGGGAGGUGGAAUUCCACGUGUAGCGGUGAAAUGCGUAGAUAUGUGGAGGAACACCGAUGGCGAAGGCAGCCUCCUGGGCUGACACUGACGCUCAUGCACGAAAGCGUGGGGAGCAAACAGG